rnacentral:rRNA from 1 species
AUUGAACGCUGGCGGCAGGCCUAACACAUGCAAGUCGAACGGUAGCACAGAGAGCUUGCUCUCGGGUGACGAGUGGCGGACGGGUGAGUAAUGUCUGGGAAACUGCCCGAUGGAGGGGGAUAACUACUGGAAACGGUAGCUAAUACCGCAUAACGUCGCAAGACCAAAGUGGGGGACCUUCGGGCCUCACACCAUCGGAUGUGCCCAGAUGGGAUUAGCUAGUAGGUGGGGUAAUGGCUCACCUAGGCGACGAUCCCUAGCUGGUCUGAGAGGAUGACGAGCAACACUGGAACUGAGAAACGGUCCAGACUCCUACGGGAGGCAGCAGUGGGGAAUAUUGCACAAUGGGCGCAAGCCUGAUGAAGCCAUGCCGCGUGUAUGAAGAAGGCCUUCGGGUUGUAAAGUACUUUCAGCGGGGAGGAAGGCGGUGGAGUUAAUAACUUCACCGAUUGACGUUACCCGCAGAAGAAGCACCGGCUAACUCCGUGCCAGCCGCCGCAGUAA